UUAACCCAAUAAUCAUAAAAAAUAUGCUGAGUGCUUUGAAAGAAAGACAUGGUUCUGAGAUUAUGAAUUAGGAUUUUUCUUCAAAAGCGUUCUGUGACACAUUUAGUUGAAAUAAUAGGAAAUAUGUAUCAUAUAGUAAGGGUAAGAAUCAUUAUUCAGUUUACAUAUGUGUAUGCUAGGAAAUAAAAGUAUACUAUGGGUCAUAGUUAAAAAAAAAAAAAAAAGGCUGGGCGCGGUGGCUCAUGCCUGUAAUCCCAGCACUUUGCGAGCCCAAGGCAGGUGGAUCACAAGGUCAGGAGUUCAAGACCAGCCUGGCCAAGAUGGUGAAACCCUAUCUCUAUUAAAAAUACAAAAAUUAGCAGGCGUGGUGGCAGGUGCUUGUAAUCCCAGCUACUCGGGAGGCUGAGGCAGGAGAAUCUAUUGAACCUGGGAGGCAGAGAUUGCAGUGAGCUGAGAUCGAGCCACUGCACUCUAGCCUGGGCAACAGAGCAAGACUUCAUCUCAAAAAAGUAAAAAAUAAAAAACUUCGUAAAGGCUACUGUGCUAGGUAGACCUGACCAAGUUUGAGAGUCAGGGCAAGCUUUUUUGAGGAAGUGAUGUUUCAGCUGAGCUCUGAAAAAUGAACAGCUUUUUCUUUUCUUUUUUUUUUAUUCUUGAGACAGACUCUCGCUUUGUCGCCCAGGCUGGAGUGCAGUGGCGUGAUCUUGGUUCACUGCAACCUUCGCCUCCCAGGUUCAAGCAGUUCUCUCGUCUCAGUCUCCUGAGUAGCUGGGAGUACAGGCGUGUGCCACUACACCAGGCUAAUUUUUGUAUUUUUAGUAAAGAGGGGGUUUUGCCAUGUUGGCCAGGCAGGUCUCGAACUCCUGACCUCAAGUGAUUUGCCCACCUUGGCCUCCCAAAGUGCUGGGAUUACAGGUGUGAGCCACUGUGCCCGGCAUUUGAGCAGCUUUUAAUUAAUUGUGGGGAAGCAACAGGGAAGAACUUAGCCAGUAUCCAGAACAGGAUAUGCAAAGCUUCUGUGGGGACUGAGAGACCAUGGCAGUUGAAGGCUAGCAUGACUGGAGUAAGAUGGGAGGAGAGGAAACGGGCCAGACACUGCAAGCCUUCAGAAGUUUAAUUUUUAUUUUGAAAACAGCCAGGAACCAUUGAAGAGUUUUAAGUAGGAGAGUGCCUUAGUUUUGUUUCGUUUUGUUUUCUAAAGAAGGGGUCUUGCUAUGUUACCCAGGCUGGUCUUUAACUCCCGGGCUCCAGCAAUCCUCCCACCUCUGCCUCCCAAAUUGUUGGGAUUACAGGCAUGAGCCACCGUGCCCAGCCAGGAGUGGCUUAGUUUUGGUUUUGAAAUGGUCAUUCUUGCCUCAGUGUGUGGAACAGAAUUAUAAUAAUAAAGCAUGUGAGGAUACAUGGAGAUGAGUGGUCCAGGUGAGAGAUAAUGGGGGCUUGGAUUCCCAUGGAAGCAGUGGAGGUAGCCUGAAAUGGCUGGAUUCCAGAGAUUUAGGAGAUAAAAAUUCACAGGAAAUUUGAGAUGGUGGUGGUAAAGGAGAGGAAAGUAUCAGAGAUGAGUACUCGUGCACCUGGAUCAAUGUUACCAUUCCUUGAGACAAGGAACCCUGGGGGCGAGGAGCAGUUUGGGGAAGGGAAAAAUCAGUCCACUUUGAUACGUUGAGUUUGAGAAGUCUUGAGACACUGUGUAGGCAGUUGUGUUUAUGAGUUUGAUCUCAGAAGAGAACUGGAGAAUUUAAUUUGUGAAUCAUUGGCAGGUAAUUGAAGCUCUGGGCAAGAAUAAAGUCAUUUAGAGAGUAUAGUGAAGACCUUUGGAAACAAUACUAAUGUCAUUGCCUGGGCCCCACUUAAAUCAAUCAGUGCCACCUUCACCCAUCCCACUCCCCAUCCCCAUGCCCAGAUCCAAGCACAUGGGCACCACCUCAUGGGCUAGUGUUUGAGAGGUCCUGGCUUACAGUUUGUCCAAGCAUGCACAGCCUGGCUUUCCUAACAUUCCCACAUCCCUACUCCAUUCCACCACCUCAGGCCUCUUCCACACUUUGCCCAUUACCUGCUGAAUGGAGUCAGCACUCAGCCUGAAGUUCAUAGUUCUCCCCAGCUCUACCCCAGUCUACCCUUUCAAUUUUACUUUGUACUGCUUCCCAGCACAGACCAUCUGCUUAAGUCCAGCAACUUGUCACUUCUCUCCACCCUGCAGAUUCCUCUGCUCUCUUGCUCACAGGCUGUUCUUUCACCUUCCAGGGUCAAGGUCAAGUCCCAUCUACUUCCUGAAGCUUCUCCAAUGCCCAUAAGGACUAGACCACUCCCCUUCCUUUGGAGAAUAUUAUUACAUAAUGAUCUGUACCUCUCAUGUUGUACCUAGUGAGGUGACCCUCGUUUUAGAAUAUUUUCUAACUAGGCAAUAUCGAUAUCUUUACUGUAGCCCUUGCCAUUCUUAAGAGAUACAGGGCCGGGCAUGGUGGCAGGCGCCUGUAGUCCCAGCUACUCAGGAGGCUGAGGCAGGAGAAUCGCUUGAACCCGGGGGAUGGAGCUUGCAGUGAGCCCAGAUCACGCCACUGCACUCCAACCUGGGUGACAGAGCAAGACUCUGCCUAAAAAAGAAAAAAAAAGAGAUAUAGGCUGGGCAUGGUGGCUCACACCUGCAAUCUCAGCACUUUGGGAAGUCAAGUCGGGUGGAUCACCUGAGGUCAGGAGUUCGAGACCAGCCUGACCAGUAUGGCGAAACCCCACCUCUACUACAGAUACAAAAAUUAGCCAGGCGUGGUGGUGGGUGCCUGUAAUCCCAGCUACUCAGGAGGCUGAGACAGGAGAAUCGCUUGAACCUGGGAGGCAGACGUUGCCGUGAGCCUAGAAGAUUGCACUACUGCACUCCAGCCUGGGAGACAGAGCGAGAGUCCAUCUCAAAAAAGAAAAAAAAAGAUAUGUUCCCCAAAUCCUCAGUAUCCUAGAAGCAAGUGUAGGACUGAGUAGAAAAUACCUAUUAGGAUGCAGAUGCUGGGCGGAAGAUGGAGAGAAGGGUGCCCUAUACCUGCUAAGUGGACAGAUAGUCUCAAUAGAACUGUGUCCCUUCCCUGGAGAUAGCUCAAAAUUCAGAUGAUACCUGAAAAUGUGAAUAAUAAAUCUGAGAAUGCCAAAACUUGCUGACCUUUCCUGUGUCUCCUAUAACACCCUUGUACCUCAAAGGUCCCCUGUAAGAACUGGCUGAUGGGGCAGAUAAUUUACUGGUUACAGUGGGACCUUCCUGAUUCUGUAUGGAAGGUAGCACAGAGAGCUACCUCCUGCUGUGCAGGGAGACCAGCUCUAGGCAUGGAGUGGAGAAACCUUUUGAGUCUUAUAUACAGCAAGACACUAACAAGAGUUGACAAAUGGGGCAGGAGAUGAGGGAAUUAAGGGAUUUGCCUACCUGCCUUCAUCUGACCUCUCUGCACUCAGAUUAUCCACCCUACCUCUCCACAUGAUGCUCUCAUGGGAAGGGGAUGACUGUAGUGACCCCUAGCAGGGCAGGGAUGACAGAUUGUGUUGAGCCAGAGGCACUUCCUGCUGCAGACUCCCUGAUAAUCCCUGAUUGUUUGCAAAAAGGCAGACUGCAGUCAAGGAGUCUAGAUUCAAGUGUAUUAUUAUAGGCAGUCGUGAGCUUAAAUUCUGUGUGAAUGAGUUUGUUCUUUUUCUUUUCUUUUUUUUUCUUUUUUUUUUUUUUUUUUGAGACAGAGUCUCACUCUGUCGCCCAGGCUGGAGUGCAGUGGUGCCAUCUCGGCUCACCUCAACCUCCGCCUCCUGGGUUCAAGCAAUUCUCCUGCCUCAGCCUCCCACGUACCUGGGACUACAGGCACGUGCCACCAUGCCCAGCUAUGUUUUUUUUUGUAUUUUUAGUUGAGACGGGGUUUCACCAUGUUGGCCAGGCUGGUCUUGAACUCCUGACCUCAGGUGAUCCACCCGCCUCGGCCUCCCAAAGUGCUGGGAUUAGAGGUAUUAGCCACCACGCCCGGCCAAGUUUUUUUUGUUUGUUUUGUUUUGUUUUUUGGAGACAGAGUCUCACUCUGUCACCAGGCUGGAGUGCAGUGGCACGAUUUCAGCUCACUGCAAUUUCCGCCUCCCUGGUUCAAGCGAUUCUCCUGCCUCAGCUUCCUGAGUAGCUGGGACUACAGGCACGCACCACCACGCCCAGCUAAUUUUUGUGUUUUUAGUAGAGACGGGGUUUCACCGUGUUGGCCAGGAUGGUCUCAAUCUCUUGACCUUGUGAUCUGCCCGCCUCAGCCUCCCAAAGUGCUGGGAUUACAGGCGUGAGCCACCGCGCCCGGCCGAUUUUGUUCUUUUUUAAAGGCAACAGACUCAAUGUAGUUUAAAAUACAUCAAAAAUUAAAUUCCUGGCUGUUGUAUUGCUAAACGAAGGACAGAUACUAGUCUUGAUCUAACCCAAAAAGCCAAGAAGUGAUGUGUGAAUGAGUUCUUAAUUCUUGGCUUUUAGGUUUAGUAGAUACUGUUGACUAAGUGACUUUCUGACCAACAGUGAAUGAGAGUUAUAGAUGUUCCACAUCCUCAUCAUCGCUUGAUAUUGUGAAGCUUUUUAAUUUUAACCUUAAAUUAAUGGUUGUAUGUUUGUGUAGUGAUAUCUCAUUGUUUUAUUUUGCAUUCCCCUGAUGACUAAUGAAGUUAAACAACUUAUCAUAUUGGCUAUUUGGAUAUCCUCUUUUGUAAAGUGCAUAUUAAAAAUCUCUUGCCCAUUUCUUAUUGUUUAUAGAAGUUCUUUGUAUAUACUGGAUAUGAGUGCUUUGUCAUAUAGAUUUGUUGCAAAUAUCUUCUCCCACUCUGUGAUUUGUUUUUGUUUUUGUUUUAACUCUCUUCAUGGUAUAUUCUGAUGAAUGGAAGUUUUUUUGUUUUUUGUUUUUUUUGAGACAGAUUCUCGCUCUGUCACCCAGGCUGGAGUGCAGUGGCGUGAUCUCGGCUCACUGCAAGCUCCACCUCCUGGGUUCAUGCCAUUCUCCUGCCUCAGCCUCCUGAGUAGCUGGGACUACAGGCGCCCACCACUAUGCCCAGCUAAUUUUUUGUAUUUUUAGUAGAGACGGGGUUUCACAAUGUUAGCCAGGAUGGUCUCGAUCUCCUGACCUUGUGAUCCGCCCGCCUCGGCCUCCAAAGUGCUGGGAUUACAGGUGUGAGCCACCACGCCCGGCCAAAUGGAAGUUCUUAACUUUUUUUUCUUUCUUUUUUUUUUUUUUUGAGACAGAGUCUCGCUCUGUCACCUAGGCUGGAGUACAGUGGUGUGAUCUUGGCUCACUGCAACCUCUGUCUCCCAGGUUCAAGCGAUUCUCCUGCCUCAGCCUCCCUAGUAGCUGAGAUUACAGACGUGUGCCACCACGCCUGGCUAAUUUUUGUAUGUUUAGUAGAAACAGGGUUUCACCAUGUUGGCCAGGAUGGUCUCGAUCUCCCAACCUCAAGCGAUCUGCCUGCCUUAGCCUCCCAAAGUGCUGGGAUUACAGGUGUGAGCCACUGCACCUGGCGGAAGUUCUUAACUUUAAUGUAAUCCAGUUUAUCAGAAUUUUCCUUCAUGGUUAGUCUCUUUUGGAGUUGUUGUUGUUGUGUUUUUUUAAAUUUAAUUUAAUUAAUUAAUUUAUUUAUUUGAGACAGUGUCUCAUUUUGUUGCCCAGGCUGGAGUGCAACCUGGGCUCACAGCUCACUCAUCUUACUGCAGCCUCAUCCUCCCAGGCUUAAGCAAUCCUCCUACUUCAGCCUCCCGAGUAGCUGGGGCUACAGGUGUAUGCCACCAUACCUGGCUAGUUUUGUAUUUUUUGUAGAGAUAGGGGUCUUGCUUUGUUGCCCAUGCUCAUCUCAAUCUCCUGGCCUCAACUGAUCCUCCUGCCUGGGCCUCUCAAAGUGCUGGGAUUAUAGGCAUGAGCCAACGUGCCUGGCCCGUUAGCCCUUUUGUAACUUAAGAAAUGUUUUGACUAUUGCAAGGCCAUGAAUAUAGUCUUUCAUUUUUAUCUUUGAGUUUUAUUAUUUUACCUUUUACAUUUAAAUCUACAGUCCACCUGGAAUUGAUUUUUAGGUAUGACAUGAGGUAGAGGUCAAUAUUGUUUUUGUUUUUUUUUUCCCCAGAUGGAUAUCAAAUUAAUCCAGAACAAUUUAUUUAAAAGACUUUCCCUUUCCAGCUGUUCUACAGAGCCAAUUUUGUCAUAAGUCAAAGAUUCAUGUGUGGAUAUGUUUCUGGACUUUCUUUUUUGUCCUGUUGGUCUCUUUGUAAGUCUUUAAGUCACUCUCUUCAUUCUCAUAACUUGAAGGUCUUGCUAUCUGAUAGUGAAAGUCUUCCACUGUGUUGCUUCUCCAAGAGUCUCUUGGCUUUUCCUGGUCCUUUGCAUUUCAUUUAAUUUUAGAAUUAGCUUGCCAAUUUCUACCAAAAAAAAAAGUGAUGGAAUUUUGAUACAUGGGAUGAAUAAAUUAAUUGGAGGAGAACUGCUAUCUUUACAAGAUUCAGUUUUACAAUCCUUGAACGUGGUAUGUUCCUCCAUUUAACCAAAUGUUUUAUAGUUUUCCGUGUAGCGGUCUCAUACAUCUUGUGUUAGAUUUAGUCCUAGAGAACUAUACUAAUAUAAAUGAUAACUUUUUAAAUUUUCCUUUUUUUUUUUUUUUUUUUUUUUUGAGACAGCAUUUCCUUCUUGUUGCCCAGGCUGGAGUGCAAUUGUGUGAUCUUGGCUCACUGCAACCUCUGCCUCCCGGAUUCAAGCGAUUCUCCUGCCUCAGUCUCCCAAGUAGCUGGGAUUACAGGCACCCACCACCAUGCCCAGCUAAUUUUUGUAUUUUUAGUAGAGACGGGGUUUCACCAUGUUGGCCAGACUGGUCUCCAACUCCUGACCUCAAGAUAAUCCUCCCACCUCGACUUCCCCAAGUGCUGGGAUUUGGGAUUACAGGUGUGAGCCACUGCACCUGGCCUAAAAUGUUCCAUUUCUAAUAAAAUUUUUAGAAGAGUCCAUUUACAUGAUUUACUAUUUAUAUAGAGAGAUGUAAUUCCUUUUUUUUUCCUUUUUCUUUUUUCUUUUUUUUUUUUUGAGACAGCAUCUUGCUCCGUUGUCAGGCUGGAGUGCAGCAGCAUGAUCUCGGCCACUGUGUGAUGUGUUAGAGAUACUCUUUAUUAGUUAAGAAAAUUCCCUUCUCUUCCUAAGUUGCUGAAAGGGUAUGGGUAUUGAUUUUGUCAUGUUUUUUUCUGCAUCUAUGAAGCUAUAUAAUUAUAUAAUUUUUCAUCUUUAUUGAUAUUUAUCUUUAUUCCCAUUUAUUGAUUUGGGGAUGUUAAGUCAAUCUGUCUUUCCUGAAAUAAACUUAACUUGACAGUGUUAUUCUACCCAUAAUUAUUUUUAAGAUUCUUUUUGCAUCUGUGUUCAUGUGAGAUUGGUUUCUAAUUUUCUUAUCAAGUUUGGUAUCAAGGUUAUGCUAAAAAUCAGCUGGGUGCAGUGGCUCACGCCUGUAAUCCCAGCAUUUUGGGAGGCUGAGGUGGCCAGAUCACCUAAGGCCGGGAGUUUGAGACCAGCCUGGCCAACGUGGUGAAACCCCGUCUCUACUAAAAAUACAAAAAUUAGCUGGGUGUGGUGGCACAAGCCUGUAAUUCCAGCUACUUGGGAGGCUGAGGUAGGAGAAUCACUUGAACCCAGGAGCUGGAGGUUGCAGUGAGGCAAGAUCAGGCUACUGCACUCCAGCCUGGGUGACAGAGCGAGACUUCGUCCCAGAAAAAGAAAAAAAAAAAAGGUUAUGCUAAAAUCAAAAUGAGUUAGAAAGUAUUUCUUAUUUUCUUCUUCCCUGGAAGAGUUUAUGUAAAUUAAUGCUGUUUGUUUCUUAAACAUUUGGGUGACAAUUAUUUUGAUGAAAUGCAUUAGAACUAGUUUUGUGGACCAUGUUUUGGAAAACAAUGGUCUAGAGCAUGACUGAAAUAUGAAAUAGUGAAUUCCUGUCCGUGUGAAUGCUCUUGUUUUUAUUCAUUUCCUUCCUUUAUGCAGCACUGGCCCCCUCACCUUUUCCUUUCCAGCUGUUUGGGGCUCAGCUAAGUGACCACACAGGAGAGCAGUGAGGCCAUUUGAGGCCUGAGCCUGGUCCUCAGGACUCGACUCUCUCACCCUGCCCUCAAGCAGCCUGCCCCAGCCCUGCCAGCCAUCUCCACACUCCUGACAGAAUGAAUGCCCUCGAUGGUGUUCCCUUCAAGUUGCCCAAGGGCUUUGUGAUAGGCACAGAGCCUCUCCCUGGGCCAGAACUCAGCGUCCCGGCCUGCGGGGAGGUUCUGCUGGGUUCUAUGCACGACUUCAGCCUGGAGAGGACGGCACUCUUCUGGGUGGAGGCCGCCGGCCAGGGACCCAGCCCGUACCAGUGCGGUGACCCGGGGACAGCGUCAGCCCCUCCAGCCUGGCUCUUGCUAGUCAGCACCGAACAUGGGCUGGCGCCUGCGCCCACCACAAUCAGAGACCCGGAGGCCGGACACCAGGAGAGGCCGGAGGAGGAGGGUGAGGACGAGGCAGAAGCCUCCUCUGGCAGCGAGGAAGAGCCGGCCCCCAGCAGCCUCCAACCGGGCUCCCCGGCGAGCCCCGGCCCCGGCCGUCGCCUGUGCUCGCUGGACGUGCUACGCGGCAUGCGGUUGGAGCUGGCAGGGGCGCGGCGGCGGCUCUCCGAGGGGAAGCUGGUCUCCCGGCCCCGCGCCCUCCUGCAUGGCCUCCGCGGCCACCGCGCGCUGAGCCUGUGCCCGAGCCCUGCGCAGUCCCCCAGAUCUGCAUCACCCCCGGGGCCCGCGCCCCAGCACCCCGCCGCCCCCGCGUCGCCCCCGCGGCCCUCCACGGCAGGCGCCAUCCCCCCGCUGCGGAGCCACAAGCCCACGGUAGCGUCUCUCAGCCCGUACACCUGUCUGCCACCUCUUGGGGGGGCACCCCAACCUCUCAACCCCCACAAGUCACACCCUGAUACUGCGGCUGACCUGCUGUCCGCCCUGAGCCAGGAGGAGCAAGACCUCAUUGGGCCAGUGGUCGCCCUGGGAUAUCCCCUGCGAAGGGCCAUCAUAGCUCUGCAGAAGACAGGGAGGCAGAGCCUGAGUCAGAGUUCACUCUAUUGGAAGUAUGGCGGAGACUCAUGAUGACACUCCAAGGACAGCACUCUGAGCCACGCUACUAUUUGGAAGCAGGUCUUGACCCCUGAUACAAGCCAAGAAUGUAAGAGCACCUACAGAGGAGUGAGGGCCCCCAAAGUGCCUAAAAAGAGGUGCUAGUGGCAAGAUACCUGGGAGAAGAAGUGGUAUGAGUGUUAUAGGGGUGUUUCUGUCAUCUCUUUCUGUGUAACAAACUACCCCGAAACUUAGUGGCAUGAGACAACCAUUUAUUUGCUUAUGAUUCUCUGGAUUGGCAGUUUUAAGGUGGACUCAGCUAGGGGGUUCUUCUGCUCAUCUCACCUGCAGUCUCAUGUGGCUACAGUUUGGUGACUUACUUGGGGCUGAAUGAUCUAAGAUGGCCUCAUUCACUGUACAGUGGGUGGUGAUACUUGUCAGCUGGGCCACAUAUCUCCAGCAAGCCACCCUACUUGGUUCCAAGAGUAAGGCCUCUUGAGGCCUCUUGAGGCCUUGGCUGAAAUUGUACAUAGUCACUUCCACCUCAUUCUAUUGGUCAAAGCAUGUUGUUGACCCCUCCAGGCUUACACAGGGGAAAAACAGAUUCCACCUCUUGGUGGGAGAGGGUGCAAAAAAUUUUAUGAUCAUUCUCAGUCUACCAUAAGAAGGUUCCAGUGAUCAAGAAAGGCUUCAUGGAGAUACCAAGCAUUGAGCGGGACUUCAAGGAUGGAUAAGAUCUGAUGCUGAAGGAAGGAGAAGGGGUGAUAUUCCAGGAGGGAAGGACAGUGUGACUAAAGGAGUGGAGGUGGGAAGGAAGUGUUUGGGAGGCCCUGAUCUGACCAGUCUUGUUGAGGAGAGGGUGCAUGAGGCAGGCUGGUAGGAGAUGAGAAAAAGAGAAUUGGGGGUAGAUUUAGGGGUCUUGAAGGCUGGCCUGAGAAUUUGAUAAAUGACCCAAUAGGCAAAAGGAGGCACGGAAGGAUUGUAAGUAGGGUCAGGAGGUAACAUUGAAUGCCAUUGCUUACACCCCAUGUCCCCACCUGAAAGUAACAUCCUUCGUUGUGUGGUUUUCUAAACAUCGGGACUCUUCAUGGUUUGAUGGCUGGUCCCAGGGUAGUUGGUACUUUUCAUUUUUCUCCUGUUCCUGCCCCACCACCAUCAGAAGGCUUGGACACCUCCAUCAUCACUGAUGAGUACUGAAUGUUGGGUCCCUGCGGUCCAGAGCUGCCUGCUUCUGCCAGAGGGAAUGGCAGAAGGGAAGUGACUUUCAAACAGGAGCCGGGGUGGGGCUGGGCAAAUGCACCUGGUCCCCUUGCCCACCCACUCCUGCUUCUACUCUACUCUGGGUUCAUCAGUUCAUGCCCUGUCCUGGAGAAGAAUUUCCAACAUAGUGACCCCCAUGUGGCUAAAAUGGCAGGGAGGGGUGCUAACAUUUAUUGAACAUUUUCUUGCAUGAAUCUCUCUCUCUGAGGGUAUUCAGUUAGGUCUCAAUUCUGCAAGGUUGCUAUUACAUUAUGACCACUUUGCAGAUGAGGAAACUGAGGCCAGGGAAGUUCAUACAGCCAGUCAAUGGCAGCACUGGGGUUGAGGCCAGCUGGUCUGACUCUGCAUCUUGGUUGCACGAUGUCUUUUAUCUCAUUUUCUGUGUGAGAACCUCCCAGGACAGCACCACAGGCUGAUCUGAGAUUUAAGAGCAGAUCUAAAGUCACGCCUACCUUCGGAUAAUACUGAAAAGCCAGAGUCCUGGCCAAAAAGCUGGUCAGGAGGGCUGUGAGGGGCCAGGUGCACAGUGGGGCUCUGACAUGCCUCCCCAGUGCCUUCAGGCCCUGUGGUAAGGCUGAGGUCUCAGGCCAUCACUCUGGGGGUCUGAAGAUGAGUCAGAGCCAGCCUGGGGCCCUGGCCUCCCAGUGGGUGAGCUGGAAGGAUUUCACUGCAUUGGGAACAUUGUGUUUCCAGAUAUAGACUGGCCACCUGCCUGGCCCCCUGGAUCUCUGGGUGGCCUUCCCUGGUGGGCAGUCAGGAGCCAGGCCCCACGGGGUGGGUCUGAGGGGCCUUUGGAUGACUUCAUCUAUCCUCCCCCACCAAGUUAGUAUUUCUGUCUGUUCUGUGAAGUCCUGGUAACUGAACAAGCCCUUUGGGUUCAGAUUCCUUCUCCCACUGAAAGCCGCAUAUUGCAGUAAAUCCUUUUUGGCCAAGAUAAAUGACAGAUGGCCCAGGAGGAAGGGCAUCAGGUGAUAGAGACAGAACAGCUAGAAGAGUCAGGGAGAGAAGAAGAUACAAAAGAAAUUGUGCAGCACUCCUUUCCUUCCACAAGGCUUGAUGUGCCCACACUGCCUCCCUGCAGGACAGGCAUGGGUGCCAUGUGUGAGGGUCCACAGGCCAGGCCCCCUCUUUUAGCCUCAGUUUCCCAGUUCACAGGGUGGAGGAGGAAUACGUGUUUGGAACCAGUGACUUCCGGGGGCCCCCUCCGGUGGCCUUAAGGUGACAUCCUCACCCACCUGGGGGCCUGAGGCAAGCCUGAUAGCUUCUACAGUCCUGCAGGCCCAAAAGCUAACCAAGCAGCAGAACCUUUGCAAAUGCAGACUCUCAGGGCUUAUCCUGCAGGGCCCCAGUCAGUGGAUCUGGGGUGGACCCAGGGGCCUUUAAUUUUAGAAAAUUUGCAGAUGGGUCUGAUAUUCACUGUGGCAUAGUAUAGAUCAAGGUCAGCUGUCCCCAUUCACUGAUUCUUAGUCUUGGGUGCACAUUAGAAUCACCUGGAGGGCUAUAGGGAAAAAAUUCCAAUGCUCAGGCUACACCCCAGACCAAUUAUAUCGUAACCUCUGAAGGUGAGGCCCAGACAGCAGUAAUGUUUAAAGUUCCUCAGGUGGUUGCAAUAAGCACUGAGACUGAGAACCAUUGCUAUGGACGAGCCAAAAGGUGGAGGCAGCGUCCACCAUCCAUCCUUGCCCGCCCUCCUUCUGAAGGUGAAGCUUUCACCUUUGGAAACCCUGUCAUCCACCAAGACAGCUCAAAGCCCGUCCUCUAGCAGCUGAUCCCUCUGAUGGACAAGGCAUUAAAUGACAGGUUACAUAAUCGGGGACCUAGUCCUGGGACCCUGGACAAGGCAUCUGCCUUGCCUGAACCUCAGUUUCCUCAACUGUGGAAGGAGGGCAUGGGUGCCUGGUUUUCAAAACGUGCUCAGAGCAGGUCUAGCUGUACUGGGCAGUACCUCGGCCAGGAGCACUGGACUCCGGGCCCCCAUGCCCCUGGCCCUGGUUCUCCCAGAGCAGCUCUAAUCUUAGCCUGUUAUUGCUGAAGCCUCCUUGUGCUAAGACAAACACUUCAGGAGCCAAAAACAAUUUGACAACUGUUAGUCUAGAUGAUGUGCACUUUCAUCCCAGCUCUGAAGGUCUACGGAAACCCCACUCUCCCUUCUCCACAUAUACUCAUAAUUCCUGUAGUCUGGAGCCUUCAUUUGGCACCUACACCCCAUAAAUCCUGCUUUGAUUUGCCUGGCACUGAUGUGGUCCUGUAUCUGGUUUAUCUCCCCCACUAAGCUGUGAGUUCCUUGAAGGCAGGUCUUCAUUCAUUUUAUAAACACAGCACACAUUUAUUGAGCUCCUUCUGCCACCAUGCUGGAUGAUGGGGACACUGUGGUGAAUGAGACUGACACAGCCCCUCCCUCAUGGAGCAAAAACUUCGUGGAUGAGAAAGAUUGAGUGAAGCAAUUACAAAGUUAUAUGUGCUGUAACAGGGAAGCAUAGGGUGCUAUGGGGGCACAAGGGACGGGACCCAGGAAGAUAGAGGGGGCAGGAAGCUUCCCAGGGACAGGGAAGGAGGCCAGCCUUGGCUGAGGGAGCUGCAUCUGCAGAGACCUGGAGGGUGAGGGAGGGGCCAAGGCCAUAGACAGGGAGCAGGACUUUGAGCCCUGCCUGGUAAGGAGCCAGCAUUUUAUCCUGGGCCCCUGAUGACGUAACCGUGGGGUGACCUGAACAGUUUUUCCUGCCUGUGGAAUCCUCCUCUUUGCCUACCCCACACCCCUUCUCCAGCACUGGUGCAGGAGUUGCAUAGUAGUGGCUCAGGAGUCCUGGAUGAGAGAGAUGCAUCUGGGGGUACAGUAGGGGUGCACAGGUGUGGACGGAUGAGGAGGCACCUUCACACGAAUGGGUGCUCCCAGACAGGGGUGGGUGGUGCAUGAAUGUUGAAUUGGGUUGGGUGGUAGGUGGGAUGUCUGUGUUUGAAGCCUGUCCUGCUCCCCACCUAGGUUCUAUGAACACCCUAGCCCACCCUGACAGCCCUUUUCCUGGAGUCCAGCCCCCAGCUUGGCAUAGUUGGUGAAGACCCAUUGUCUGCCUAUCGCCAGGCACUCAGAGAAAGCCUCUAUCCCCCUUCUGUGGGUUCACGGGCUCUCUGGGGCCACACUGCAGGUGGUGGCUUGCCCUGUUGCCUGGCCCUCAGCUCAGGCCCUUGGAGUGCCUCUCUGCCCUGUCUGCUGCCCUGGCUGCUCCUCUUACCCUCCCUCCCUCUCUGCCCGCUUCCGGCCCAGUUUCUCAGCUACCUCAGUGCCUGUGACCGCCUGUUACGUCAGGGAUAUGAGGAAGGCCUAGUGGACGAGGCCAUGGAGAUGUUCCAGUUCUCCGAGAGCCAGGCAGGGGAGUUCCUGCGCCUCUGGGAGC